UGGGGAAUAUUGCACAAUGGGCGCAAGCCUGAUGCAGCCAUGCCGCGUGUAUGAAGAAGGCCUUCGGGUUGUAAAGUACUUUCAGCGGGGAGGAAGGGAGUAAAGUUAAUACCUUUGCUCAUUGACGUUACCCGCAGAAGAAGCACCGGCUAACUCCGUGCCAGCAGCCGCGGUAAUACGGAGGGUGCAAGCGUUAAUCGGAAUUACUGGGCGUAAAGCGCACGCAGGCGGUUUGUUAAGUCAGAUGUGAAAUCCCCGGGCUCAACCUGGGAACUGCAUCUGAGACUGGCAAGCUUGAGUCUCGUAGAGGGAGGUAGAAUUCCAGGUGUAGCGGUGAAAUGCGUAGAGAUCUGGAGGAAUACCGGUGGCGAAGGCGGCCCCCUGGACAAAGACUGACGCUCAGGUGCGAAAGCGUGGGGAGCAAACAGG
rnacentral:rRNA from 1 species